rnacentral:lncRNA from 1 species
AGUCCCUAAGCCAGAGCAGGUGAUGUGGGCAGGAAGCAUCAGCGCUCUGGAGACGAGAAGCCGAACCAGCCCGGCGCUGCCCCGAGCCCGGCUGCGCGCUCCCCAACUCCGCUCACCUGUCUCCGGCGGGUCCAGAGGGCGGCAGCAGAGCCAGCCGACCCCACCGGACCGCGCAGCAGAGGAUUCGCUCACCUGGGUCAAAAAGAGCCAAGAAAGAUGUCUGUACUCCGCUAAGCGGUCAAGGGUUUCCGCAGAAGGGGGGAGAUAAACUUGCCCUGAGAGCCGGCGGCGGCGGCGCAGGUGGAGCGCGAGGGGCGCCCCCGCACCUGG